rnacentral:rRNA from 1 species
UGGGGAAUAUUGGGCAAUGGGCGGAAGCCUGACCCAGCAACGCCGCGUGAAGGAAGAAGGCUUUCGGGUUGUAAACUUCUUUUCUGAGGGACGAAGCAAGUGACGGUACCUUAGGAAUAAGCCACGGCUAACUACGUGCCAGCAGCCGCGGUAAUACGUAGGUGGCAAGCGUUAUCCGGAUUUACUGGGUGUAAAGGGCGUGUAGGCGGGGAAGCAAGUCAGAUGUGAAAACCACGGGCUCAACCUGUGGCCUGCAUUUGAAACUGUUUUCUUGAGUACUGGAGAGGCAGACGGAAUUCCUAGUGUAGCGGUGAAAUGCGUAGAUAUUAGGAGGAACACCAGUGGCGAAGGCGGUCUGCUGGACAGCAACUGACGCUGAGGCGCGAAAGCGUGGGGAGCAAACAGGAUUAGAUACCC